rnacentral:rRNA from 1 species
UACGUAGGGUGCAAGCGUUGUCCGGAAUCAUUGGGCGUAAAGAGCGCGUAGGCGGUCCGGUAAGUCGGUUGUGAAAACUGGGGGCUCAACCCUCAGAGGCCGACCGAUACUGUCGGGCUAGAGUCCGGAAGAGGCGAGUGGAAUUCCUGGUGUAGCGGUGAAAUGCGCAGAUAUCAGGAAGAACACCAAUGGCGAAAGCAGCUUUCUGGGACGGUACUGACGCUGAGACGCGAAAGCGUGGGGGAGCGAACAGG